AGCAGAGAACACCAGAGAAUGCCGGAGAGCCCAGAAAGAGUGAAGACUUGCUGGGGGCUGGGAGGUCUGCUGGCCCUCCAGCACCCCUGUCUACUGUGCACCUGCAGACUUAAUGAAGCAAAUAAAGAUUUACCAGUCCUCCAGACACUUUUUCAAUCUUUAGCAAAGGAAUUUGAAUGUAACAGUUGCUGAUGAAGAAUGACAGAGCAUUUUGGUAAUAUUGAUUGUAUUCCUCGAAGAAGCUGAAACAGCAGGAAGCAGGUUAUCUAGUUCAUUAGCAUGCCUUGCAAAUGGUUUCUCCAGAAUUGCCUUUCUGAAGUGGACUGCCUGCAAUGCCACCAGUCUCCAUGAAGUAUUGAAGUUGCCACUACAUUUAUUGUAUCACUGUUGUGAAGAAGACUGUUUAUCAGGUAUAACUGAAGCAGAAAAAAAUAGUUUAGACUCUCUGCCCAUUUUAUCUGGAGUCCUAGAAGAAAUUGUCUGAUCUU